AUUGAACGCUGGCGGCAGGCUUAACACAUGCCAGUCGAACGAGUGGCGGACGGGUGGGUAAUUCUUGGGAAUCUAGCUUUUGGAGGGGGAUUACUAAGGGCAACUGUAGCUACUACCGCGUACCAUAGGGUGAGUCCAAGUGGGUUUAGUGAGUUGGUAAGGUAAAGGCUCACCAAUCCUACGAUCUCUAGCUGGUCUGAGAGGAUGACCAGCCACACUGAGACUGAGACAAGGCCCAGACUCAUACGGGAGGCAGCAGUGGGGAAUAUUGCGCAAUGGGAGCAACCUGACGUAGCCAUGCCGCGUGAAUGAAGAAGGCCUUCGGGUUGGAAAGUUAUUUCGGUAGCGAGGCGUUAACUACAGAAGAAGCACCGGCUAACUCCGUGCCAGCCGCCGCGGUAAUUC
rnacentral:rRNA from 1 species